UCUGACCUCAAAUCAGGUAGGAUUACCCGCUGAACUUAAGCAUAUCAAUAAGCGGAGGAAAAGAAACUAACAAGGAUUCCCUUAGUAACUGCGAGUGAAGUGGGAAAAGCUCAAAUUUAAAAUCUGGCAGUCUGAUUUUAUAUCUUUGGCUGUCCGAGUUGUAAUCUAGAGAAGUGCUACCUGUACUGGACCAUGUAUAAGUCUCCUGGGAUGGAGCAUCAUAGAGGGUGAGAAUCCCGUCUUUGACAUGGACUGCCAGUGUGUUGUGGUGUACUUUCAAAGAGUCGAGUUGUUUGGGAAUGCAGCUCUAAAUGGGUGGUAAACUCCAUCUAAAGCUAAAUAUUGGCGAGAGACCGAUAGCGAACAAGUACCGUGAGGGAAAGAUGAAAAGUACUUUGGAAAGAGAGUUAAACAGUAUGUGAAAUUGUUGAAAGGGAAACACUUGAUGUCAGUUGUGUUAGCUAGGGAUCAGCCCAGCUUUUUU
rnacentral:rRNA from 1 species